rnacentral:rRNA from 1 species
UACAGAGGUCUCAAGCGUUGUUCGGAUUCAUUGGGCGUAAAGGGUGCGUAGGCGGUGGGGCAAGUCAGGUGUGAAAUCCCGGAGCUCAACUCCGGAACUGCACUUGAUACUGCCUUGCUAGAGUACUGGAGAGGAGACUGGAAUUUACGGUGUAGCGGUGAAAUGCGCAGAUAUCAGGAGGAACACCGGUGGCGAAGGCGGGUCUCUGGGCCGUAACUGACGCUGAGGAGCGAAAGCAUGGGGAGCGAACAGG